rnacentral:rRNA from 1 species
CUCUAAUAGCGUAUAUUAUAUUGUUGCAGUUAAAAGCUCGUAGUUGAAAUUUGGAACUUUAUCAUAUUGGUUUAUCUUUUGAUGAACUGUAUGAUGGGUUUCUUCCUACUAGAGUUCGAUUCUGUUCUUAAUUGAAUGGAGUAGCUAUCUUUCGGGGUAGUCAGUUGGUUAUUAUGUCUCCACUAAUGAGCAGAGAGGGGUAAAACUCUCAAAGUAAGUUUUGUGGAUCAAGGUAUAGUGAUUAAUUGGAGUUCUAGUUCGUUUACUUUGAGAAAAUUAGAGUGUUUAAAGCAGCCUCUUGGGGCACUGAAUACAUUAGCAUGGGAUAAUAAAAUAGGAUCUUCACAAUAUAUUUUAUUGGUUUAAAUUGGAUAUGAAGAUAAUGAUUAAUAGGGACAGUUGGGGGUAUUCAUAUUGGGUGGUUAGCGGUGAAAUGCUCGGAUCCAUUCAAGAUGAACUAAAGCGAAA